ensembl:lncRNA VAC14-AS1 VAC14 antisense RNA 1
GAGGUGAGGCGGUGUCAUGUGACCUGCCUGGUCCCGUGGAGAGCCGGGCAGCGUGGGGGCAGAGGCUGGCCCUCCUGAUCUGCACCCAGGCGGCUUCUACACCACCCUGCAGCAGGCCUGGCCACCGGCCUCAGCGCUUCUGGGAGAAGGUCAGCCAGGUGGAAGAUGGAGAGGGCUUCUGGACUGAGCCCUGGAGGGGGGCUAGGGGCCACCAGCAGGCAGAUGAGCCCUGGGACCCAGCUGGCCAACCCACCUGACCACGGUGACAAGGACUGCUUGGGAAGGAUAAGCCCAGGUUCGGGAAAGCAAAUUCAGGCUGCAGGACAGCUGCCCGGGCCCCCCACAAGCCUGGCACCAGCCCAGGGAAGACUGAGGAGCCUCACUCCAUGGGGACUGCAAACACCUGAACACAGCGAACCUGAAGGUAUAGGGCAUCUUCAGGCUGCUACUGAGGCGGUCCUGCCGCACUCAACCCAGAACCUCAUCACUAAAAGGAACCUCAUGGUUCAGGCUAGAGUGCAGUGGCGCGAUCUCGGCUCACUGAAACCUCCGCCUCCCAGGUUCAAGCAAUUCUCCUGCUUCAGCCUCCCAAGUAGCUAGGAGUACAGACAUGGUCUCACUCUGUUAUCCAGGCUAGAGUGCAGUGGUGUGAUCUCAGCUCACUUCAACCUCUGGCUCAAGUGAUCCUCCCACCUCAGCCUCCCCAAGUAGCUGGGACUACAGGCACACGCCACCAGGCCCAGAUAAUUUUUUGUAUUUUCAGUAAAAACAGGGUCUCGCCAUGUUGCCCAGACUGGUCUUAAACUCCUGAGCUCAAGCGAUGUGCCUGCCUUGGCCUCCCCAAGUGCUGGGAUUAGAGGCAUAAGCCACCAUGUCUGGCCCCCAGUGGCUUCUAAUCCGCCCUAUCUAUCCAUCAAGCCUGGGUGGGGUGGGCUUGCUCAGUGUCCUUCAGAUUCCUUCAUCAAUUAACUCUUUUGUGUACGAGGGUGUCCCAAAAGCAGCAGCCGCGAGUAGAAUUUGCCUUGGGUCAUUGCUGUAGUCUCCCGCAUCCAGGAAAGAUCUAGGCCGCUCGCUUUCCACAAACCUUCUGGCUGAAACAAGCCACUUACCUGGCUGCAGUGAAGACACUGAUGCCGCUACUGAAGCUGGAGUCACAGGAACCAUCUGGACCUCCUGGGAGAGGAAGAGGAACAAGGGGUCAUGAAAGGCUGUUGGCUCUCUUGAAUAAACAAGACCCCUGUGACAAGCACACACAGAACUCUCCAGAGCCCCAUACCUUGAUUCAGGCUCUUCAAAAGGACCAUGGCUCUGGAGCCCUGAGGACCCAACCAACGCCCAGUCAUUCUCGAUAGUCCCCAAGCUUGUAAGUCUGUAGUCACAGUGAUCUCACAAGGAGGGGACACCAGUGCUAAACACAUCUGUCAAAUCUCAGAAGGGAUCACUGGCCUGAGGGGAAUGGAUGUUUAAAAUGACAGAUAAUACCCAGCAUCCUUAGCUAUCAGGAAAAUGCAAAUCCAAACCACAAGAUACUACUGUACACCCAUCAGGAUGGCUAAAAUAAAAGACAAAUAAUAGCAAGUGUUGAUGAGAAUGUGGAGAAACUGGAACCCUCGUACAUUGCUGGUGGGAAUGUAAAAUGGUGCAAGCUGCUUUGGAGAACAGUCUGGCCAUUCCUCCAAAGGCUAAACAUAGUCACCACAUGACUCAGCAGCUCCACUCCUAGGUAUAUGCCAAAGAGAAAUGAAAACUUAUGGCCACAUGAAACCUUGUAUAUCAAUCAUGUUCACAUCAGCAUUAUCUACAAUAGCCAAAAAGCAGAAGCAACCCAAAUAUCUAUCAACAGAUGAAUGGAUAAAUGAGGUGUGGUAUAGCCAUACAAUGGACUAUUAUUUGGCAAUAAAAAGGGAUGAAGUACUGAUGCACGCCAUAAAAAUGAACUUUAAAAACAUUGUGUUAAGUGAAAGAAGCCAGUCAUAAAAGACUACAUAUUGUAUCCCUUUCUCGAAAGUGUUUAGAACAGGCAAACCUAUGGAGACGGAAAAUGGACUGGAGGUUGCCUAGGACUGGAGGAGACGGGGGAAUAGGGUAUAAUGGCUAAUGGAUUCUUUCAAGGGCACGGAAAAUAUUCUAAAAUUGAUUGUGGUGAUGGUUACAUAACCCUGUGAAUCUACAAAGUCACUGAAUUGUACACUUGAUGUUGGGUGAAUUGUGUGGUACAUGAAUUCUAUCUCAAUAAAGGGCUU